rnacentral:rRNA from 1 species
UAUUGCACAAUGGGCGAAAGCCUGAUGCAGCGACGCCGCGUGAGUGAAGAAGUAUCUCGGUAUGUAAAGCUCUAUCAGCAGGGAAGAAAAUGACGGUACCUGACUAAGAAGCCCCGGCUAACUACGUGCCAGCAGCCGCGGUAAUACGUAGGGGGCAAGCGUUAUCCGGAUUUACUGGGUGUAAAGGGAGCGUAGACGGCGACGCAAGUCUGGAGUGAAAGCCCGGGGCUCAACCCCGGGACUGCUUUGGAAACUGUAAAACUGGAGUGCAGGAGAGGCAGGCGGAAUUCCUAGUGUAGCGGUGAAAUGCGUAGAUAUUAGGAGGAACACCAGUGGCGAAGGCGGCUUACUGGACUGUAACUGACGUUGAGGCUCGAAAGCGUGAGGGGCAAACA